CAUUAAGUGACUGAAAGUAAGUAAUGGUCUCUUAAACCAAAAAAUGGUAUUUAACAAUUGCUCUUAAUGG
rnacentral:tRNA from 1 species